CCUGAAGCAGCGACGCCGCGUGGGGGAUGAAGGCCUUCGGGUUGUAAACCUCUUUCAGCAGGGAAGAAGCGCAAGUGACGGUACCUGCAGAAGAAGCACCGGCUAACUACGUGCCAGCAGCCGCGGUAAUACGUAGGGUGCAAGCGUUGUCCGGAAUUAUUGGGCGUAAAGAGCUCGUAGGCGGUCUGUCGCGUCUGCUGUGAAAACUCGGGGCUUAACCCCGGGCCUGCAGUGGGUACGGGCAGACUAGAGUGCGGUAGGGGAGACUGGAAUUCCUGGUGUAGCGGUGAAAUGCGCAGAUAUCAGGAGGAACACCGGUGGCGAAGGCGGGUCUCUGGGCCGUAACUGACGCUGAGGAGCGAAAGCAUGGGUAGCGAACAGGAUUAGAUACCCUGGUAGUCCAUGCCGUAAACGUUGGGCGCUAGGUGUGGGGCUCAUUCCACGAGUUCCGUGCCGCAGCAAACGCAUUAAGCGCCCCGCCUGGGGAGUACGGCCGCAAGGCUA
rnacentral:rRNA from 1 species